UCCCUGAUGGCUCAGAGGGUAAAGCGUCUGUCUGCAAUGCAGGAGACCCAGGUUCAAUCCCCAGGUCGGGAA
rnacentral:tRNA from 1 species